rnacentral:tRNA from 1 species
GGGUUGUUAGCUCAGCUGGUAGAGCAGCGGACUCUUAAUCCGUUGGUCGCGGGUUCGAUCCCCUCACAACCCACCA